rnacentral:rRNA from 1 species
ACUCGUAGACUCCUACGGGAGGCAGCAGUGGGGGAAUAUUGCACAAUGGGCGGAANCCUGAUGCAGCAACGCCGCGUGCGGGAUGACGGCCUUCGGGUUGUAAACCGCUUCGCCUGUGACGAAGCGUGAGUGACGGUAACUGGGUAAAGAAGCACCGGCUAACUACGUGCCAGCAGCCGCGGUGAUACGUAGGGUGCGAGCGUUGUCCGGAUUUAUUGGGCGUAAAGGGCUCGUAGGUGGUUGAUCGCGUCGGAAGUGUAAUCUUGGGGCUUAACCCUGAGCGUGCUUUCGAUACGGGUUGACUUGAGGAAGGUAGGGGAGAAUGGAAUUCCUGGUGGAGCGGUGGAAUGCGCAGAUAUCAGGAGGAACACCAGUGGCGAAGGCGGUUCUCUGGGCCUUUCCUGACGCUGAGGAGCGAAAGCGUGGGGAGCGAACAGGCUUAGAUACCCUGGUAG